rnacentral:tRNA from 1 species
GGUGGAGUAGCUCAGCUGGUAGAGCGCUCGCUUAGCAUGCGAGAGGUAGUGGGAUCGAUGCCCACAUUCUCCA